rnacentral:rRNA from 1 species
UACAGAGGUGGCAAGCGUUGUUCGGAAUUACUGGGCGUAAAGGGCGCGUAGGCGGCCUUCUAAGUCAGACGUGAAAUCCCCCGGCUUAACCUGGGAACUGCGUCUGAUACUGGGAGGCUAGAGUAUGGGAGAGGGAUGUAGAAUUCCAGGUGUAGCGGUGAAAUGCGUAGAUAUCUGGAGGAAUACCGGUGGCGAAGGCGGCAUCCUGGACCAUUACUGACGCUGAGGCGCGAAAGCUAGGGGAGCAAGCA